GACGAACGCUGGCGGCGUGCUUAACACAUGCAAGUCGAACGGAAAGGCCCUGCUUUUGUGGGGUGCUCGAGUGGCGACCGGGUGAGUAACACGUGAGUAACCUGCCCUUGACUUUGGGAUAACUUCAGGAAACUGGGGCUAAUACCGGAUAGGAGCUCCUGCUGCAUGGUGGGGGUUGGAAAGUUUCGGCGGUUGGGGAUGGACUCGCGGCUUAUCAGCUUGUUGGUGGGGUAGUGGCUUACCAAGGCUUUGACGGGUAGCCGGCCUGAGAGGGUGACCGGCCACAUUGGGACUGAGAUACGGCCCAGACUCCUACGGGAGGCAGCAGUGGGGAAUAUUGCACAAUGGGCGGAAGCCUGAUGCAGCAACGCCGCGUGCGGGAUGACGGCCUGCGGGUUGUAAACCGCUGUCGCCUGGGACGAAGCGUGAGUGACGGUAAUGGGUAAAGAAGCACCGGCUAACUACGUG
rnacentral:rRNA from 1 species